GAAUUCCAGGCUGCAAGUGCAUUGAGGUUGAAAAUAAAAAACAAGAAGCUGGUUGAGACUGCUGUCUUUGGCUCUGCCUGUCGGCAUUCUUUUCCUAAAUUAUUUUUUAACUUAAAACAUGGUGAAAGAUUUUGUAUAGUCCAAGACGAACAUCAGGUGUUGGAACUCACUGAUGGUGAAUGUCUUGAACGUCUGUGGUCGUAUUUGGGCAAGUUUUCCAACAUAACCAAAGAAAUGACCCCAGAGAACAGGACAGAUCUUUUGGUGGAUGCUCUUAUUUAUUAUGGUCAUAAAAUUAGAAAUAAAUUGGCACAAUGUGUCACACCAUCUGAGGUUCAGAAAUGGUCUGAUGAUGAGCGACUUCAGACACAGACACAGACACAGAUACGACAAAAUCAAAAUGAGAACUAUACACCUGAAGAGCCUUAUGCAGUAAACCUGCGACAGUACCAACAUUUUCAAAUUAUAAAAGAUCUUUCAAGAUUUGAAAGAAAUACUAAUUGUACUAGCUGCUGAAUCGGCUAAAUCAAAGAAGAUCCUUUGCAGUCUUUCUGACUUUCACCAGUCUGUUUCAGAGAGGCGUUUUCUGCUGCAGCUGCUAAAGAAAUAUGCAAGAGGUCAAGCUAUUUCAAUAAGGGUGGGUCACCAGAUAAAGUCUGUCAACUCUGUGAUUCUCGGGAAGAUUAAAGGUUACAAUGACAUUGAUGGGCUUGUUGAACCAGAUCCGCUGUCAUUGACAUUUUCCACUGUCACAGACCCAAAUUCCAUCAUCUGGCAGGUUUUACAACCGAUGCCACUUGAAGCAUUAGGUAUUGCCAUUCCUAGAGAUGUCAAGCGCCUGCUCAUUGAUACAAAAGAAAUAAUGAACAGAUGUGAUCAGUACCGCUGGGACUGGGCAGUGUUUUAGUGCUUUCACCACUCGCAUUAUAGCUAUACAGGAAGACUAAAUAUUGCAACCUGGGUCAUGUUUCAAUCAUUCAUUUGGGAACAUUUUGAAUAGAUAUUUCCCUAAUUGACAUAAUUGGUUUACAUUGUUAGAUAAUAGUAAUUAUGUCAAUGGAUUCUGUAAUAUUUAUUGAUAUAUAAAACUAUAGUGGCUAAAAAAAGGGCAACAUAAUAUAGCAUAAAACUCGUCCUCAGUUUCACCUAAGUUACACAAAACACAAUCUUUUAGAUCUACUUAUGUUAUGAUAGCGACCAAGUCAAUAGCUAAGCUAUGUGAUGAUAAUCUUAUCUUUGUGAUGCAUUGGGUUUUUAAAAAAUAAACUUGGGAUAGUUUUCAUCAGAUUAUUUUGUAAAAUAAGCUUUUACUAAAUAUUUAUACCAAUAUGAACAUUUGAUAGACGUAUUUAGAAGCCCACUAAGAUCUUGCUUACACUGGUCCAUAAUUCUCUGUUUAUUAACGGCAAAUACAAAUUACCAUUUAAUGCUUUUUGAUUGCACCACAGUUCAUAAAAACCUAAUGAACAAAAUAUUAGUCUUUCUCAGUUGUUAACUAUAUCACAUUUUGAUCCAAGUUUCAUAUAUGCAGAGUGCAAUAUACGAUUAUUUGCAUUCAAUAAUUUAAACCAGUAUUUUAUCAUACA
rnacentral:misc_RNA from 1 species